AUGGAGGGAAAGGGGAGGAGCGGGGAGAAGGCGGAGCCUCUGAGACCACGUGACUCGGGGCCCGGUAGGCGCGCGCUUCGGGGCCCGGAGGCCUAUAAAGCGCGCGCAUGUCCCGGUGCGCCCGGUUGUGUGUGCGCGCCCGAGCUCCAGACUCUCCAGGCCCGCGCAGCUCUGGUCAAACAGUCAAAUAGCCAUGGCCACACCACGCACAUCUCAAAAAUGGCAUCCGAUUAUCCAAAUGAUGACACUGAAAUAAAACAUCUGCCAUUUGUGUUUGGACAGUCCAAUGAUAAGCACUUUGGGGAGCUGCACUUGGCAGAGGAAUGAGAAACCACGAUGGAACUUGACUGUUCACUGGUUUCACAGAUCCAACUAAUUGGGUCUUUAAAAUCAAAGGUAAUUUUGCUAAUUUCUGCAGAGUACCAAUGAAUGAAGGAGUAAAUAUAUUCUAACAAUGUGACCCAUGGGCUAUGUUAUAAUUUUGUCUACGGAGCUUAAUGCUCUUUUGCACAAAUGCAAAGAAUUGCAAACAUUACAUUAAGCCCCACGCUGAGAGGCUUUGAUGGGGAGAGGAAUUAGGGAUUUGAUGUAAUAUUCUAUUUAGGGAUGGAGAGCCAGGGUACAGGAUGUGAGUGAUGGGCCAGAGCCUGAGCACUUCAAAGCAGGUACCUUGGAUAAGAGUUGAGUUGACUCAAUUCAAGCCAUUUCUUGGCUCCCUAAGAAUGCCUUAUUAUUUUCUCAUUGGCAGCUUUUGUAUUUGCUUAAAGGUGAUGGUAGAAAAUGAAUCUAAAAGGGGGAGGCAAAAAACGAUUCAGCAGUCACAGAAUGUAACCCCCUAAAGCAGGACUCCCCUCCCCUUCUCUCUUCCACCUUCUCUUUCCUCCCCUCCCCAUCCACCCCCUCCCCAGAACUGGAGGAAAGGGAACAGCUCUAGCCAACUUGUCAAAAUAAUGCUGCUAAUUACCCCUGAUCUCCUUUAAUGGGAAGCUGCUCCCAACUCUACAAAAGAGUAAAUGAGGGGGCUACAGCACAAACCCAGGAGCACUGGCAUUUUUGUGAGCUUAUAGCGAGUUUGGUGGGGGCUAGGGGGCCACAGAGAAGGUGUGCUGGAAGGUCCCAGAAAUUAUAGUUUUACAGAGUCACAUACUAGUUUGAAAAAGACUUUAUGCAGUGCCAAAGCCAUUGGUAUUCUCUUGCUGGGAACGUCACCAACUGUAGAGAAAAUGUUCAGAGUCUACACAAUGCAACUUGAAAGAAAGCAGCAUUAACCUUCACAUUGAUUUCCUCCCUUGUCUAUAGAUCUUCUGAACCACAUUACUUUAAGAGAGAUGUAUCCUGGAAAGAUUCAGACUGUGAACAUUUCCCCCUCCAUCUCUCCCCUCAUCUCUGUCUACCCACAUAACAUAUCCAUAUCAAGCUCUGCAUUUGGCAGAAGGCACAUCAUUCAUUUCAGUGAUCUCUGCCAUCGGGUCUUGCAUGAAAAAGAAGCUGAGCAACAUGAUCCCUUUGACCCACUGCUGGAGCAACAAAUUUAUUAGAGAUAUAGGCAUGAGAAAUGAAAGGGAAGUAAAACAAUUCCAGCUUAUUGUGUGUCUUUCUUUCAUACUGCUAAUCCGGUUUACACAUCACGCCUACACGUCUCAAUAGGGCUUUAUACACUGUGGCAGAGGCGGGAGAAAAUAAAAGGUGUGUGUGUGUGUGUGUGUGUGUGUGU
rnacentral:lncRNA from 1 species